GUGGGAACAUGCCAGAGAGGGGGGUCUGGGGGUAAGGAGGGAAAUUCUGCCAUCCUGGAAGGAAAGGAGAGCCUGGGGAAAACUCCUCGGUAUGGGAUGGUAUGGGGUAGGGGGUCUCCAGGAGCAGGUACCCUGAGCUCAGUGUCUUUUUGGGGCUCUGUGAGCUGCUGAAGGGAAAAAAACAAGUCUCCAGUUGGGAUGCACAGGGAAGAUUGCUGCUUGGUUUCUGAGAUGUUGUGUGAAAAACACCCACUCAUGCUCAAAGGCUUGGAUUGCUCCCUGGUUUGCCUCAGCAGUAGGAAGAGCUGCUGCUGCCUUCCCGGUGAGGGGAGCAGAGGGCACGGUGAGCCAAGGGGCUGAAGCCCGGGGCUGCCCCACCAGCCAGCUCCAGUCUGGGUGGAGAAAAAAUUCCCCUCGGCAGGCGGCUGGUGCACGAGGAGCCGGUGCGACCGUGCCCGUGUCCGUGCAGGGUUGUUCCCUGUAUCCCGGGGCUGCUCCUGCAUCCCAGGACUGCUCCCUGCAUCCCAGAGCUGUUCCCUCCAUUCCAGAGCUGUUCCCUAUAUCUCAGGGCUGUUCCUGCAUCCCAGAGCUGCUCUUUCCAUCCCAGAGCUGCUCUCCCCAUCCCGGGACUGCUCCCUGCAUCCCAGAGCUGUUCCCUCCAUUCCAGAGCUGUUCCCUAUAUCUCAGGGCUGUUCCUGCAUCCCAGAGCUGCUCUUUCCAUCCCAGAGCUGCUCUCCCCAUCCCGGGGCUGUUCCUGCAUCCCAGAGCUGUUCCUGCAUCCCGGGGCUGCUCCCUCCAUCCGAGGGCUGCUCCCUCCAUCCGAGGGCUGCUCCCUGCAUCCAAAAGCUGCUCUCCCCAUCCCGGGGCUGUUUUCUGCAUCCCAGAGUUGCUUCCGGCAUCCCGGGGCUGCUGCCUCCAUCCCAGAGCUGCUCCCUGCAUCCCGGGCACCAGCUGGUGCCGGGAGGGAUGCUCGGGGGGUCGAUGCCUGCAUUUAACUCCCUGGUUGCGGAGUGAAACCCGCAGGAGAGCGGGUGUGCGUGUGUCAGUCAGCAUCCUGAGCCAAUGGGUGCCCGGUAGGAGGUCUGCGCUCCCGGUGCACGCACGGAGCCCGGUGCUCCUUCUGCCAGUUGUGUGCGAGCGUGUGUGCGUGUGCAAGGGGAGAUCAGGCACACUGACUGCCUGCUCCCGUCUCUCCCCCUCUCUCCAGCUCGCUAACUCCGUCUCCCUCCCUCUGCAAACAAACAUUGGAUUUAAACCUGCUCAGAAUUCAGCGCAGACGGAAAGCAGCGGCGGCAGCAGCAAGCAGCAAGCAGCGCAGCCGCUCGCCUAG
rnacentral:lncRNA from 1 species